GUCUGAUGGUGUUUGGACAGGUGCAGUCUACAGUCCUGGAAACUGUGGGAAAGAAGCUUCAUGUACCCAAAUAUUUGGGAGCACCUGAUGCCCGUGUGGAUCCAUUCUGCCACUUGCCCACAUCUCUGGUCAUCAGGCUUCACUCAUCAAUAGCUUUUGUGCUGGGCACAACAGAGAUACCUCCACAGCAAAAACCUUUCCUUGUCUUGAGCUUCACCUUCAGUGGUUGCUGGAGAAUGACUGCAAAGCCACAGAGGUCCUUCCUCUCAGUUAACAAACUGUCAUGGGGUCUGGAGCACUGAGGCAAGGAGAACAUCACAUUCACAGGUUGCUGCGCUUCACCAAUUCUUCCAACAAUCCUUCCAGAGCAUCAGCGGAGAAGAGGUGUGAGUUGAUGCAGACUUUCCAUGAAAGAGAAGCUGUAAUAGGAGAAGACUCAGUCCUGGGAAUGAAAAAUGAGCUUAUCACACAUCAUGUACUUCUUCCCAAGUACUGUAUCCUCACUCUGCCUACAGCCAUGUAGAAGAACCACUUCUUUGUGAGACAGCUGCUUGGAAAUAUUGGAGUUCUUCUGAUAUAUGGAGAUUUUGGCUACGUGUCACCCAACGAUGCAACCUAUCCAGUGCUUAUAACAUGUUGCUUGAAUUUUCAAGGUUUCCUUGUGGACGUUAAAGUUGACCUUUUGAUCAUGGCUUUGAGAAAAUUCCUGACAUCCAGUCGCCUGUUCUUCCCAUCCCUACCCAAGUUUUCCAGCUUCUCAAAUGCAGCACAGACAUGAGUGAUUCAUUCUGCAUCCAGCACAGCAGAUGGGACCAAUGUCUCUGGAACAGAGCAGGAGAUGGAAAGGAAAUGAUUUAAGUUGAGUACAGGUCCAUUCCUGAAGAGCAAAAACUCUGCCAAUGCUGGGGACCAGCUUGAAGCCCCUCUCUUCCAACAUCCCCAUGUGCUGCAUCUCACUGCCACUGCCUCGCACUUGGGAUAGGCAGCACCUGGGAACAGAGAGGGUAAGAAGCGCGAGUCAAGGAGAGGGUUAAGUGCUCAACUUUUAUUGCCUGCAAUAAUUGCCUGCAUUAUUCUUCAGAAGGUUAUAGUGAUAAGAUAAAAAAAAAAUCUAAUCAAAUGUUAAUAACCACGAGUCAUGAUAAAUUGCUUCAAGAUGCUUAUUCAUUGAUUAAAGCUUAGUGCAGGGCUUGAAAUAGAGAUAUCCAGGAAGCUUCGAGCCCCUAUAAUUGUUGAAAACAUGCCAAUAAAGAUGAAUAAUGAUGAAUAAACAUGUCCCAGCCAUGUCUGUGUGCAAAUGCCUUUUUCAUCGCAGUUAAGACUAUUUUACCAUACGGGAAUGGUGAUUAUUUCCUGAUAGUUUUGAAUACAUGCCUAAGUAAGAAAGUGGACUUUAAGAGCUAAGAGUAUACAACUCAGUCAAUAAAAAUGUCCAUUAAUGCUCUACAGUAGUGUUCACAUCUUGAUUCUUCCCAGUUUUUACCAAACUCUCGCAUAAGCUCUUUACCACUCCCCUCUUAAGACCAUUCCAGUUGACUGAAAUACCUAUGUAUCCAAAGAACCAGAUAGAGCCAAAGAAAUGACAAAUCCAGGAUACUCAAAGAGGACACGGGAAUAUGAAGGUGGAAGUUCAAGACCCACUAUCUAGUGUAAUGUUUUUAAUAGUUCCCAAAAUACCUCCAACAGAAGAGUGCAAGAGACAUCUUUUCCAAAAUAGCCAAGCUGGAAGAUGCACAAAACACCCAGGGUGCACUGUGAUGGUACAGGUGUAGCUAACAUCUCUUGAAAAUGUGAGAAAUUCCAACUCAGUAUGAGGAGAAAUAGUUCCACUGCGGGGGUGAUCCAACCUUGGAGCAGGUGCCCAGAGGGGUUCUGGAGUCUCCAUCCUUCAAUGCAUACAAAAUUAAGCUGGUCAAGCCCUGGGUCCCAGUGGGACCAGCUUUGAGGAGGAGGAGGCAGAACUGCCUCUUCCUUUCUACUUGGGAACAUGUUUUCCCUAUUUCCACCCUCAUAAAUCCCUUGGAGGGUCUUUGAUCAGGGAUUGUUUGUUUGGAUGUUGUUUAUUGGAUUUUGUAGAACAGCAUUUCCUUUUCUUUUCUACUCUUAGUACACAGCACAGUGUAUUUACAUGCACUAUUUUACCAUUUGUCAUUUUUAUUAGUGAUAAAAUUUAUGGGGAAAAAAAUUACACAGGACUCUGUAAAUAUCAUUAGUAUUGUAAAUUAACUGAAGAUCUACAAUCUAUUGUAAUACUGUCUGAGAUACUGUUCCAAAAUGGAAAACUGUCUGUAAAACAUACUGUAUCACUUACAGUUGAGGCUUGAAGUUGCCGCAUAUUGUGCACAUUGUUGUCCAAUUAAUGUGCUCAUAUCAGAACUAUGAAGUCUGAUGUCUGGAAGCAUUUGGGUUAUUUUUUGCAGUUUUUCAUGUUCCAACUUGAUGUAGAGUAUUAGCCAUGUAAUUGCCAGAAUGAGUAGAUGUUGGCAUGUAGAUUUAGGUGAAUCAGGCUUUGCAAAAUGCUCUGAUAUUCUCUUGAGAGCUCAUUUUUGUGCCUGCAAAGUAUACUGAUAAUCAACACAGAUCAUGAACUAAUGGUAAAUAUUUAAGCUGGUCGUAACACUGAAAAUGGCAAGAUCUAGGAUACUUCAGCUGUCUCUGUUGCCAUUGCUAAGAUACAGGAAAUACUUGGCUUUAGAGGUAGCUAAGUGGAGGCAAUUCUGAUCUUAAUGACAAUCAGUCUUCUAGGCAUAAUGCAUUUUUGCCUUAUAGCACUAAGUUUCUUUGUAUUUAUCUGUUGAAAGACACUCUUAAAAAAACAAAGAACUAACAAAUUAUACUGGGCACAUAAAUCAACAACAGAGAAUGUUUUUUUAUUUUAUUU